GUCAGGACCAAAGACAGAAAAGUCCGGAGCUGUGACUGCCACUGACUUCAUCUUUCCAUCAGCCAAGCAAGGGGUGCAGUGAGAUAUCACAAACACACACACACACACACACAGAAGUAGGAGGUGGGGUGCAGCUGUGCGUAUGUGAAUGCAUGUGCAUUGUGGGUGAGAAGUGCAUAAUUUGUGUGUAAAUGCAGAAACGGCUUACUGUGCUCAGGAAAGCACUGGGGACUCAGAGUUUUUGUACUGCCAUUUUCCCUCAAAAAGCAGAAGCAGGAACAUCUGCAGUGUGUCAGGAAAUGAAGACGUUUGGAUAUGUCUGGUUUUGAUGUCAUUAAAUGACCAAUGGAUUAAAGACUCAUGGGAGAAGAAAGUUACAGAUAACAAAAGUGACAUAACCCAUGUGCCUAAGAAGCCCCUGUCAAAAGGCAUGCGAUGCUUCUUUAGGUAAGUAACAUUUCGUUUGGUAAAAAUCACUCCUAGAAAGUCUGGGAAAACAGACAGGAAGGUGCUGUAA
rnacentral:lncRNA from 1 species